rnacentral:rRNA from 1 species
CGGAGGGGCUAGCGUUGUUCGGAAUUACUGGGCGUAAAGCGCACGUAGGCGGACCAGAAAGUUGGGGUGGAAAUCCCGGGGCUCAACCUCGGAACUGCCCUCAAAACUAUUGGUCUGGAGUUCGAGAGAGGUGAGUGGAAUUCCGAGUGUAGAGGUGAAAUUCGUAGAUAUUCGGAGGAACACCAGUGGCGAAGGCGGCUCACUGGCUCGAUACUGACGCUGAGGUGCGAAAGCGUGGGGAGCAAACAGGAUU